rnacentral:misc_RNA from 1 species
GUAGGUGAACCUGCGGAAGGAUCAUUAAAAAAAUUAUAGUUGUCCAUUAAGUGACCAACUCAUUGUGCAAUGUAACAUGUUCUUGGCAGUUUAGUGUUUUUUAAGGAUUUUUUUUCGAAAAUCUCACGUCUUAGACUUUAUAAUGAAGUCCAAGGAACUGCCGAUGGCUUAACGCCAAAAAUUCUAUAAACUCUAGUUUUAUUAAUUGUCUGAUUCUAUUAUUUAAUAAAUAAUAACAACUUUUGACAAC